UGGGGAAUAUUGGACAAUGGGCGCAAGCCUGAUCCAGCCAUGCCGCGUGAGUGAUGAAGGCCCUAGGGUUGUAAAGCUCUUUCACCGGUGAAGAUAAUGACGGUAACCGGAGAAGAAGCCCCGGCUAACUUCGUGCCAGCAGCCGCGGUAAUACGAAGGGGGCUAGCGUUGUUCGGAUUUACUGGGCGUAAAGCGCACGUAGGCGGACUUUUAAGUCAGGGGUGAAAUCCCGGGGCUCAACCCCGGAACUGCCUUUGUUACUGGAAGUCUUGAGUAUGGUAGAGGUGAGUGGAAUUCCGAGUGUAGAGGUGAAAUUCGUAGAUAUUCGGAGGAACACCAGUGGCGAAGGCGGCUCACUGGACCAUUACUGACGCUGAGGUGCGAAAGCGUGGGGAGCAAACAGG
rnacentral:rRNA from 1 species